UACGUAGGUGGCAAGCGUUGCUCGGAAUCACUGGGCGUAAAGGGCGCGUAGGCGGGAUGGCUAGUCAGUCGUGAAAUCUCUCGGCUCAACCGAGAAACGUCGGCUGAUACUGCCGUUCUUGAGGGAUGCAGAGGAGACUGGAAUUCCCGGUGUAGCGGUGAAAUGUGUAGAGAUCGGGAGGAACACCGGUGGCGAAGGCGGGUCUCUGGGCAUCUCCUGACGCUGAGGCGCGAAAGCGUGGGGAGCAAACGGG
rnacentral:rRNA from 1 species